rnacentral:lncRNA from 1 species
UUUGUGAGUGAUUUGGUGAGGAAUUGAUACGCAAACUCUAUCAAAAUGAUUGAGGAAGGCAAGGCAACAAUAAAGGCAAGUGAAGCCAAAAUCAUGCAUCUCUUCUUUACAUAUAAUAUAAAUAACAUCUCCUGUCUUUUAGCUCUCUCUGACUUGUUCUAUGAUUACACUCACUGCAUUGUUGAUUGAUUCUUUUGGCGUUCUGCAGCACCAACAUUGUUGAUUGAUACACUCUUGUUGUGCAACAGCAGCGAGGAUUGACUUCUUGAGUGUGUUUUCCAGUGGUCAAAAAAGGUUAAUAAUACCAAGAUUUACUGUUAAAUUAUUUGUUUAUUUAGUGGUUGUGGAAUGUUUUUAUUAUUUGAGGAGGAAA